rnacentral:rRNA from 1 species
AGGCCGAUGGCGACCGGCGCACGGGUGAGUAACACGUAUCCAACCUGCCGUCUACUCUUGGACAGCCUUCUGAAAGGAAGAUUAAUACAAGAUGGCAUCAUGAGUUCACAUGUUCACAUGAUUAAAGGUAUUCCGGUAGACGAUGGGGAUGCGUUCCAUUAGAUAGUAGGCGGGGUAACGGCCCACCUAGUCUUCGAUGGAUAGGGGUUCUGAGAGGAAGGUCCCCCACAUUGGAACUGAGACACGGUUCAAACUCCUACGGGAGGCAGCAGUGAGGAAUAUUGGUCAAUGGGCGCAGGCCUGAACCAGCCAAGUAGCGUGAAGGAUGACUGCCCUAUGGGUUGUAAACUUCUUUUAUAAAGGAAUAAAGUCGGGUAUGUAUACCCGUUUGCAUGUACUUUAUGAAUAAGGAUCGGCUAACUCCGUGCCAGCAGCCGCGGUAAUACGGAGGAUCCGAGCGUUAUCCGGAUUUAUUGGGUUUAAAGGGAGCGUAGAUGGAUGUUUAAGUCAGUUGUGAAAGUUUGCGGCUCAACCGUAAAAUUGCAGUUGAUACUGGAUAUCUUGAGUGCAGUUGAGGCAGGCGGAAUUCGUGGUGUAGCGGUGAAAUGCUUAGAUAUCACGAAGAACUCCGAUUGCGAAGGCAGCCUGCUAAGCUGCAACUGACA